UUCAAAAGCAAACAAGAGCCACCAGGAGAUCUGUGACAGUCCUAAUCCCAGAGCCUCGAGUCACCUGAGAGAAGGACCCACUGUAGAUUUACCCACAUCCCAUCUCUUCAAGUUUAGCAGCUGGUCAGCGCGUCAGUCAGUCAACAAGUGUUGAGCCCACUUCUUUGAUGGAAAAUGAUGAAGUGCCCAGUGUUCCUUUAUUGGCUCAACUCCAUAACUUAGUGAGAAAGAAGUUUCUCACUAUUUUAUGGACUGAAAACACAUAUGGUGCCAGGAAGGAUAUGCAAGAGGAGAUGAAAAAGCAAAAAGAGAAAAAAAAAGUAAGAAUUUCUCUUUAUUCCUAUUACAAGGUAGUCUGUUUAAAGAGGUUUUACCUUGGGGGAAAAAAGAACAAGUUUUGUGUGUGCUUGAUAAGAUAAGUCAGACUUGCAGUGAUUUUUAGGUAGAAAACAAUGCUAAUUAAAUCAGUAGGAAAACAACCUAGCUGGGUGACUAAUGCAGAACUGAUUUAAAAUCUGCCACGAGUUCUGUGCCUACAUGUAGACAAGAGAAGAGUCUAAAAUCAGGCAUUCCAGGGAUGGCAUUCUAAUGAUCGGAAAAUAAGAAAGGACAAGGUCAGAAGCAAAAUGAUAGUUCAAAGAAUUAGGACUGGGGCUGAAAUCCAAAGAGCAAGAGUUUCUGACAAUUUGGUAUUCAGAAACACCUGCAAUUGGCCCAAAUUACCCAGACUGGCUAACUGCAUUAUUCAUCAUACAAUAGUGCAAACAUUUAUGUAUUCAUUUAUUAAUGAGCUUGACACCUAGCUCUUGCUGCUGCAGUUUGUUGCAGUUUCUAGUUUGAAAGCUCAUACUGAUGUUAUUAAUAAAAUUGUAGAACGUUAGAGCUAGAGGGGACCU
rnacentral:lncRNA from 1 species